rnacentral:tRNA from 1 species
CGGGGUGUAGCGCAGCCUGGUAGCGCAUCUGGUUUGGGACCAGAGGGUCGCAGGUUCAAAUCCUGUCACCCCGACCA